rnacentral:ribozyme from 1 species
CCCCUACAAUCGGAACGCCUUGACGUGGCGCAGGGGCUUUAAACUAAGAGUCCG